rnacentral:rRNA from 1 species
ACGCUCGACACCUACUGGAGGCAGCAGUCGGGAAUAUUGCGCAAUGGAGGAAACUCUGACGCAGUGACGCCGCGUGCAGGAAGAAGGUUUUCGGAUUGUAAACUGCUUUAGACAGGGAAGAAAGAAAUGACAGUACCUGUAGAAUAAGCUCCGGCUAACUACGUACCAGCAGCCGCGGUAAUCUGAGCGGGCUGGCAAGGC